GCCAUGCACGGUAGCACGUGCCUGUAGUCCCAGCUACUCGGGAGGCUGUGGGAGGAUCCCUUGAGUCCAGGAGUUCUGGGCUGUAGUGGGCUAUGCUGAUCAGGUGUCUGCACUAACUUCGGCAUCAAUAUGGUAACCUCCCGGGAGCGGAGGACCACCAGGUUGCCUAAGGAGGGGUGAACCGGCCCAGGUCGGAAACGGAGCAGGUCAAAACUCCUGUGCUAAUCAGUAGUGGGUUCGCGCCUGUGAAUAGCCACUGCACUGCAGCCUGGGCAACAUACUGAGACCCCGUCU
rnacentral:SRP_RNA from 1 species